UUUUGUUAUGAUGAAAUUGAUGUACAAGAUAUGUAUAUGUGAUAAGGCCUAAUGGCCAAUGUGAUGAAUGUGAAAGUGUAUAUAUGUGAUAAGGCCGAAUGGCCAAUGUGAUGAAUGUGAAAGUGUAUAUAUGUGAUAAGACCUAAUGGCCGAUGUGAUGAAUGUGAAAGUGUAUAUAUGUGAUAAGGCCGAAUGGCCAAUGUGAUGAAUGUGAAAGUGUAUAUAUGAGAUAAGACCUAAUGGCCGAUGUGAUGGAUGUGAAGGUGUAUAUAUGUGAUAAGGCC
rnacentral:lncRNA from 1 species